rnacentral:ncRNA from 1 species
AGAAAGGCUGUGAACAAGAAUAGUACGCUUACUGCAAGGCUCAGAGAGUCGGGGUAAGGUGUGAACCGAUGCCAGCGCAGAGGCAGAAUGGGCUUGGGAGCUGCAGGUUGAAAUCCCUGAAACGAGAGUAAACCUCGCCGGAGUGGGCACCGUUAUCAUAGCCCAGGGUAUCGUCCUUCUAGUAAGGGCUGUACCUGACAAGAGUGGUUCUUCAUCUACCAUAGGCAGAUGAAGGGCAACGAGGGUGGCACCGCGGAUUAAACCCCGUCCCUUGG